CAGUAGCCGCGGGAAAACGUAGGGUGCGAGCGUUAAUCGGAAUUACUGGGCGUAAAGCGUGCGCAGGCGGUGAUGUAAGACAGAUGUGAAAUCCCCGGGCUCAACCUGGGAACUGCAUUAGUGACUGCAUCGCUGGAGUGCGGCAGAGGGGGAUGGAAUUCCGCGUGUAGCAGUGAAAUGCGUAGAGAUGUGGAGGAAUACCGAUGGCGAAGGCAGCCCCCUGGGCCAAUACUGACGCUCAUGCACGAAAGCGUGGGGAGCAAACAGGAUUAGAUACCCGAGUAGUCCCUGUCUCUUAUAU
rnacentral:rRNA from 1 species